UACAGAGGGUGCAAGCGUUAAUCGGAAUUACUGGGCGUAAAGGGUGCGUAGGUGGUUUGAUAAGUUAGGUGUGAAAUUCCUGGGCUUAACCUGGGGACUGCGCCUAAUACUGUUAAGCUAGAGUGUUGUAGAGGAAGGUGGAAUUUCCAGUGUAGCGGUGAAAUGCGUAGAUAUUGGAAGGAACAUCGGUGGCGAAGGCGACCUUCUGGACAACGACUGACACUGAGGCACGAAAGCGUGGGUAGCAAACAGG
rnacentral:rRNA from 1 species